AACGAACGCUGGCGGCAUGCCUAACACAUGCAAGUCGAACGAGACCUUCUGGUCUAGUGGCGCACGGGUGCGUAACGCGUGGGAACCUGCCCUUAGGUUCGGAAUAACUCCCCGAAAGGGGUGCUAAUACCGGAUAAUGUCUUCGGACCAAAGAUUUAUCGCCUUUGGAUGGGCCCGCGUUGGAUUAGCUAGUUGGUAGGGUAAAAGCCUACCAAGGCGACGAUCCAUAGCUGGUCUGAGAGGAUGAUCAGCCACACUGGGACUGAGACACGGCCCAGACUCCUACGGGAGGCAGCAGUGGGGAAUAUUGGACAAUGGGCGAAAGACUGAUCCAGCAAUGCCGCGUGAGUGAUGAAGGCCUUAGGGUUGUAAAGCUCUUUUACCCGGGAUGAUAAUGACAGUACCGGGAGAAUAAGCUACGGCUAACUCCGUG
rnacentral:rRNA from 1 species